rnacentral:lncRNA from 1 species
GGCGCCGCUCCCGGUCCGGGCUAGCGGCGAAGCUGCGGGUGCGGGGAGCGCUUGGCACCGCUCGGUGAGGGGUGGUGGACGGGGACAGCCGGGCCGGGGCACCCGGCGGAGGGCACCGCUCCGGGGCUGGCGCCUCUUCCGAGGCCGCUGCGGCUUUACAGUAUUGGAUCUUGUAAGAGCCGCGAGUUUGGCGUCUGCAGCGCAGCAGCGGUUCAGACAGGUGAGGAAGGCACGUACUUCGCAGGGCUGCUUUGUAACGCUAUGCGGAGGUCAGCGGGUUCCACGUGCCGCUUGCCCCCCGCACACCUCGGCGCUGGGACGGGGCGUGGCUCCGCCCGGGCAGCUGAGAUUUGUGCUGAAAGCUCCUCGGUGUGAGGGCUGGUCCCGGAUUAUCGUAGCUAAAAUAAGCCCAUAAGCAGAAUUCCGUCCUCACAAAGGGUCUCCCCAAAACCGAGCCCAGCCCCAUCUGUAAGCAGUGGAGAAGGAGGUGUGCUAGCUGGAAAUUUUAUAGGGGCCCUGAUUGCUUAGUGCCCUUUGCACCUUUUGUGAUACAGAGCAUCAGCCAAGGGGAGGACAGAAGGAAGCCCGAAUAAAACACAGAAGAAAUUCUUGCUUUUGAGCUGCUUUCAGUGCCGUAUCACUUUGGAAACCAGAGCGUUGGCCCGUGCCCGGCAGGGAUUUCUCACUGUUGCCAACGUGAAACACUAUGGCCAGUCCCAUGAGGAGGAACCUGGAGUUACCCCAGCAGAGCCAUCUCGUCCCACCCAUGUCCACCUCCUGCAGCCAACACAAGCAUUCCCAGCUGUUAUCCAUGACCCCGACGACUGCAGCAACCUCCUCAUGCACCACUGCCUUUCCUCCAGACAUAAUAUUUUCCCUGCCUGGAAGGCCUGGGGGAGAGGACAGCUGAAAGCCGAAAUUUCAUUCUAUUUUAUAUUAUAUUUGCCACCACCAAUCUCCAUUCUAUCUUUCUAUUUGAGCAGAGCUCUUUAGAUGACUUCAGACCAUGAAGCACGUCUGCUGGCUCAGUGUGCUGGUGUGGCAGUGUCAAGAUCUGCAGCUGAGACGGACUUCCUCAUAUACCAGCUGUUAGAUGUAACACCUCACAGAGAGGGCUGAAAAUUAAAAACAGAGAAGCUGCCAACUCCACGGUGUCAAUUCAAUAAAUACCAGCCUGGAAACCUCCUCUGUGCCCCA